AGUUAAAGCGUACAGCUGCGAUCAGUGUGGUAAAGCUUUUACUCACAGUAGCCACUUACGGCUUCAUCUAGUUACCCACUCUGGAAUUAAGGCGUACAGCUGUGACAUUUGUGGAAAAACUUUCAGUCGCCAAGGGGACCUAAAUAUCCACCUCCGCAUUCACACUGGACAUGAUGUUUACUGCUGUGAUCAGUGUUGGAAACCGUUUACAACAGAUGCACAGUUACAAAGCCACAUGUUUACCCACACUGAGGAGAGACCUUAUAAAUGUGACCUGUGUGAGAAGACUUUUAAAUCUCCACGUUACCUGAAAAUACACCAAGAGAUCCACACCAGAAAGAAACUCUACAAGUGCAGUUACUGUGUGAAGCAGAGCGACACAGAUGGAUCCAGUUCUCAACCCUGUCAUCACUGUGGAGGUGGGAAAGCGUUUCGUUGCGACCUUUGUGGAAAAACUUUCAAUCAGCAGCGAAACCUAAAAAUGCAUCAGCGUAGACACACUGAAGACAAAAUGAUCUACUGUAAAGAAUGUGGAAGAGGCUUCCCCACUCAAUCUGAUUUUAAACAACAUGAAAUCUUCCACAGUGGUGUUAAAAAGCACGCCUGUAACCAGUGUGCAUACUUCUCCACCUCUGCAGGUCAGCUUAAAAGACAUAAACGAGUCCACACAGGAGAGAAACCAUACAAGUGUAGACACUGUAACAAAAGGUUCUCACAAUCGAGCAGUCGUAACCUUCAUGAACGUACACACAUUGAAGGGAACUUCAGCUGUGACCAGUGUGACAAGAGCUUCAAGAAUAUCAGUUCAUACUCCAAACACAAACGAUCCCAUUCUCAUUAUUCAUUAUCUGCUCUGUGCAAACAGAGUAAGCGUGAUCAUGAAAUCAUUCCUAUUACUGAAUCACAAUGACUCUGCAGAGACAGAAAGUUCCUCUUCUGGUUUCAGGGUCAGACUUAAAAACCUUGAGAUCAGGCUCCACAGAGUUCAGAUGGAAUCUCCUGUAAAGAGUAUCAGCUGAUGUCACACUUGGAUCUCAUGAGGUAGCUCUGAUUUCUGGACCUGCAGUAAAUAAUCCUGAAUCUUAAAUUUAAUAAGCUGCAAGUAUAGAUGUGUACAUCAAGUUUUUGUGUUUUAAUUUUAAUGCAUUUUAUUGCUCUGAAAUGCUAUUCCUUUUUACAUAAUUCCCCCUCAGAAAACAGUAGUGUUUAGUUGUAGUACUUGUAUUAUAAAGUUAUAGAAAUAUCUUUUAAAGUCAGCUGAUAAGUGUCAGUCUUGGUAGCCGGGGAUCGGUCUGCCAGGGCCUCCGCUCCUGGCCACCCCCUGACUCACAUUGCACCCGACCCCUACGGUGCCUCCUGUGGGUGGUGGGCCUGCAGGAAGAUGGGCCCCUGUCCCUUUUUCGGGCUGUACCCGGCCGGGCCCCAUGGACUAAGGCCUGGCCAGCACACGCUCGCCCUCGGGCACCCUCCCCGGGCCUGACUCCAAGGCGUGUCCCCGGUAACCAUAUCCCAGGCAGGGUGAACUGUUCCCUCGAUGGUCUUUUCAUAUGGUCUUCUGAAUUGCUCUUUGUCUGGUCCCUCACCCAGGACCAAUUUGCAAUGGGAGACGCUACCAGGGGGCAAAAGCCCCCAGACAACAUAGCUCCUGGGAUCCCUGGGAGACACAACCCCCUCCACCACGAUAAGGUAGCGAUUCGCAGAGAGAAUCAGCACUUCCGAAUUUGAGGCCAUGAGCCUCAGCCGGAAAGGGGUGGAGUGCCCUGGGCGAGGUUUUCCAGGCUUGUCCCACCUGGAGGAGGCCCCGGGGCAGACCCAGGACACGCUGGAGAGAUUAUAUCUCUCGGCUGGCCUGGGAUUGCCUUGGUGUUCCCCUGGAUAAGCUGGAGGAGGUGGCUGGGGAGAGGGAGGUCUGAGCUUCACUGCUUGGGCUGCUGCCCCUGCGACCUGGCCCCGGAUAAGCGGAAGAAAAUGGAUGGAUGAUAAGUAUGUGCAGUUUAAAGUUUCAGAGCUGGUUAGAAAUGCACAGCAGCACCGAGCAGUGUUGCACAUAUAUUAAUAAAUAGAAUUUGGCCCAUUUUUCCACUCUAUGUAACUUUGAUAAUCAAAUCACCAGAAUAAAUAAGUGAUUUCAUGAAGCAUUAGUGUGCCAUUUUCAUGUUAUAUUUUCACUAUUCUUUAUAGAGCUCCAUCACCUUUUCUCUGAUAAUCUCUGUGAUUGGAGAAGGUGAAGCUAACUUGAUCUAUGUUGCGCAGAUGAAAAGUGAAAUGACACGUGAAGGAGUUCUGAAGUACAAAUAUAUGUGCACUGUGUGUAAUGGGACUUGGCACGACUUUUAGGUUGAGAGAUUUACUAAACAUGUGGGUGAGUGGCUGUGUUUUCAUCUGCCUGUGGUGUAUCUCCUGGAUCCGGCCUAUGGCAGAGCCCUUCUCGAUUUUUCUCCCAUCGGCACUAAUUAACAGGGCUGCAUUUAAGCCCUCUGUGGCUGUCUGUCCUUCCCCAGCCCAUUAACUACCUGUAAUGGAAUCAGUUCUCAUGUUCCUUGUGAGUGUCUAUGCUUUUGAUUGUUAACUCACCCUGUUUUCCUUGUGUCUACAUCUCUUAUAAAACCACUGUUCAGCCUUUCAGCAGCUUGCACCCUUGCUCUGGAUUAGUUGCAGGCUACAGCUAAGAUCAUCCACAUGCUGGUUGAAAUCCCUGAUCGUUAAGAGUUUAUCCAGUUUAAUGAAGGAAGAUGAAAAGUCUGGAAAAAUCUGAAUGAAAACACCACCAGGGCUGGGAGGGCAGUAAAUUAAAACACAGUAAAAUAUAUUUGAUGAACCAAUCUGAAGUAGUGACUCAAAGGAGUGCAAAGUCUCAGAGUCCAUUGCUCUGCAGGAGAAACUGUCCCACCGAACGAAGAGUCCUGACGAAAUAACAGCCGACCGGGCAGAACUCAUUAAGGUGGAUUAAUGGGCCUUUCUCAGUUCUCAAGUACGUGAGUCUGUACUCGCGUUCUCGGCAAAUCCGGACUAACCAAGAACGCAUGGGAGUACGGACUCGCGAUUUGUACAAUUGGAACAACAGCGUACUUGAUGAUGUCACAGGUUCGGAGUUUUUACUGCCGUCCCCUCUUAAUUUAACUGUGAUUAAUAUGUUAUGAAGCUUAACUUUAAUCUCAGCCAAACCGAUUUACUCAAAUAAAACUCUGAAAUAGACCAAACAUUAAGAUUUAAAAAUCUAAGAGACUUGUAUAUCAUGUUUAACCUGAGUAGCAAAAGGCCGAGGGGGGUUGAAAAUGAUGUGUGGGAGUCUGUUCUCACCGGGCUCUAGUGAUCCUUGACCUCGCAGUCUGCUAUCAAGCUGGUUGGUAACAGGCAUCUCCGGAAAUGUUUAAGCACUUUUGGAAAUAUGUGAUAUCUUGAUAAAUCAAGCAGAUAUUGGAAGUUUACACAACUACAUUCUCUCCUGAAAAUAACUUAAAAGUUUAUUUUGUGACCCAGAAAGACUAAUAUUUAAAAAAAAAUUUGCCACGCUCCUCCGCCGUUGCCGUGUUUAAAUUUUGGACGAAAUGCAUUCUGGGAUAUUUAGCUGUACCAAGUCCACACAAGUCACCACCAAUGCAUGCUCGAUAAAACAGGCGGAGCACAUCCAGGACUUUUUUGCAUUCUCUGCUUGAUGCACAUGUCACUGUCACUACCCAAUCAGAAACCCGAUCGGUGCCACGCAUGUGCGAAAGGCCCAUACUUCCGCUCAUUUUAUGAUAGUUAUGGGUCAGAGUAUCUGUUAAGAUGUUAACAAAUAAUAAGUAUCUCUUAAAAUGUUUGCAAUAAUGAAACAUUUCAAUUUAAUGUAGAAAAAAACGAAAAAAAAAAGAUAGCCACAGAUCAGGACUCCCCGAUCCUUACUGCACAUGUGCAAAGUCAGACCAUACAAAUUGGGUCUACCCAAUUCGUACCGCGCAUGUGCAGAUGUUUUCUUCUUCUUCUGUUUCUUUUAAUGGCAGUUUACUCACCAGUGUACGAGGAUACUGCCACCUGCUGACCGAGCGAAUGAACCCUAUUGUAAACUGAACUAGGCGUGUUAAAUUUGAUUUAGUGGUAGUCGAGUGUGUUUAUGCUUGUCUGUGCGGAGAGGAUUAUUGGAAUAGUGAUGAUGAUUUCCGCUAUCACUGUCAACUGUCAGUAAACACUUAAUCUGGGUGAUGAAUCUUCAUGUGACAUAUUACUAGAUCUGUAUUAUAAAGUCUGUAAUUAGGCGCCAUUCUUCUUAUUUUACGGCGUUGUUGUUCAAUUGGGGGACGCUCUCUGUUGAGGAGAAAAGCAUGAAUUUGUUUGUAUACGGAUUAUCCGUUGUUUAAAUGUCCCGGGCAGUCGAAAAGGAGGCAGAGCUGUUGAGAAAUGCUAGGAGCUAACUGGGCGCUAACCGUGUCACUCAAAAUAUUGGCAAA